rnacentral:rRNA from 1 species
AGCGAACGCUAGCGGGUGGCUUAACACAUGCAAGUCGAGCGCUGACCUUCGGGUCAGAGCGGCGAACGGGUGAGUAACACGUAGGACACCUACCUCUUGGUGGGGGAUAACUCGGGGAAACCCGAGCUAAUACCGCAUAUGGCCCACGGGUCAAAGGCUUCGGCCGCCAGAAGAUGGUCCUGCGGCCCAUUAUUUAAUCCUAGUUGGUGGGGUAACGGCCUACCAAGGGUACGAUGGGUAGCUGGUCUGAGAGGACGAUCAGCCACACUGGGACUGAGACACGGCCCAGACUCCUACGGGAGGCAGCAGUGGGGAAUAUUGCGCAAUGGGCGAAAGCCUGACGCAGCCAACCCGCGUGAGUGAUGAAGGCCCUAGGGUUGUAAAGCUCUGUCGUGAGGGAAGUAGUUCUGACGGUACCUCACAAGAAAGCACCGGCUAACUCCGUG